GAUGAAGAACGUAGCGAAAUGCGAUAAGUAAUGCGAAUUGCAGAAUUUCCGUGAGUCAUCGAAUCUUUGAACGCACAUUGCGCCCAUUGGUAUUCCGAUGGGCAUGCCUGUUCGAGCGUCAUUAUCUUCCCUCAAACCUCGCGUUUGGUGUUGGGCCGUGCUGGUUCCUGCGUGACCAACUGGCCUCAAAGACAAUGACGGCGUCCGUGGGACCCUCGAUGCAACGAGCUUCUCAGGAGCACGCGUCGAGUUUCAAGGACCUUCCGGGCCGGUCUCUCCUCAUGUUGUUACAAGGUUGACCUCGGAUCAGGUAGGGAUACCCGCUGAACUUAAGCAUAUCAAUAAGCGGAGGA
rnacentral:misc_RNA from 1 species